UACAGAGGUCUCAACCGUUGUUCGGAUUCAUUGGGCGUAAAGGGUGCGUAGGCGGUCGCGUAAGUCAGGUGUGAAAUCUCUGGGCUCAACCCAGAAACUGCACUUGAUACUGCGUGGCUAGGAUACUGGAGAGGAGACUGGAAUUUACGGUGUAGCAGUGAAAUGCGUAGAUAUCGUAAGGAAGACCAGUGGCGAAGGCGAGUCUCUGGACAGUUAUCGACGCUGAGGCACGAAGGCUAGGGGAGCAAACGGGAUUAGAUACCCCGGUAGUCCUAGCAGUAAACGGUGCACGUUUGGUGUAGGCGGAUUCGACCCCGCCUGUGCCGUAGCUAACGCGUUAAACGUGCCGCCUGGGAAGUACGGUCGCAAGAUUA
rnacentral:rRNA from 1 species